UUCACCAAUCUACUAGGCUUUGAAUUUCAUGGUUAAUGUUUUGUUUUUAAGUGCAUACAAGCAUGAUUCCGUCUUUUAAUUGUUAAUUGCAUGCUAUAGAUGUUGCUUAAAUGAACAUGUUUUUUACAAAAUUUCCUUCAUAAACACCCUAACAGAACGACGACCCUAGCUUGUAUAUUGAAAUUGGUAUGCCAACUUGAACAGGGAGUUGUGUAUUCCAAACCCGAACAG
rnacentral:lncRNA from 1 species